GACAUUCAGAGACUUGUGCCAAAGCCACUCCGGACAGCUCUAGGGAGAGUCUUGGUGGUUCCAAACUUCUUCAUGAACCAACAUCCAUGAGGAACGUUUUUGACUUGAAGAAUCCAUGCUCCAAAGAUUUCAAGCUGUUCUGUAGACAAAGGGGUGUUCGAUCCGGUACUAGAUAGGUGUACCUAAUAAACUAUCUAGUGAAUGUAUAAUCAGGGCCAUGAGUUUUACCUGUACAGGAGCAACUCCUGAUUCAGGCUAUUUACUGUAGCUAGCUCUUCAAAGCGGUACAAAACACGUUUAAGUUGUGUUUUGUUCAUGUUCAAACAAGGAAGACCAUGUCAUGUUUUUUAAAGAGGUAUUCUGCAGUUCGGAUAAUAACAAAGCCGCCACUGAUUUGGUAAACAGAUGAGGAAUGGGGAUGGAGAAAUUGAACCACUCUCAAAUUGCUAGAUCAACUAUGGAUACAGUGACUGACCACUCAUAAUAUAACAAUUAUAGUUUUAACCAUGUUUUGAUAUAGAGUUUUUUACGUGUGCUUUGUUAACAAAUAAAUAAAACAACCUUAUAGUUCUGAUGGGGUGUGACAGUUGAACUAAGCUCAUGCGGCAUCUAUAAGUUAAAUUCUUCAAGAAAUAUUGGGUAGAUUUCAAUAAUUUACAAGGCCAAUAACAGAGGUACCAAUUGCAGAAUGCCAUUUUUUUGAAAGUUUACUUGUGGUGUCAUUGUCACAUGUUGAGCAUUAAUACAAUUUGAAUUCAUUCUGAAAUCAGACGGGGAAUAUCUCUCUCUCUCGAAUGCUAUAGAAUCUAGAUCCUAGAAUUGAGAAAAUGUAUGGAAAAUCAUCCACAUCAAAUCAUCCACCUCUGCUCUGACAAAAGUAAAGUGAUGUAAACAUUGCAUUUUAGUAGUGUAGUCUGGGGCUCUUUCACCUCUGGAAACUCCACUUUAGUCUGGGGUUCUUUCCUGUUUGUGAAAUCUAGCGCAGCCUAAGAAAAAGUCCAGAGAAAAAACCCUUGGUGAAAGUGAAAUCACUGUAGCUUUGUCCUCCCUCAGUGCCCAUAUUAGGAGAGAGAGAGAGAGAGAGAGAGAGAGAGAGAGAAUGUGAGAGAGUGAGAAUGUGUUGCAUGCCUUCUCCACAGCAUGCCUUCAAUUAGGUUAGGGGUUGUGAAAGGGGGCAUCCACUGUCUCCACCCACUCUUCUCCCACAGUUAUUUUCUGGGACACUGCACAAUACAACUUUAUUUGACGGCAGAACAUUCAGAGGCUGUAAGCUUGACACAUGGCAAAAUGAUUCUGCUGUUUCUGAGUCUCGGUUUGGUCACUUCUAACGUCCAGUCAGGAAAAGCAGUGAGACCAGAGCCGUCAAAACGGGUAUCGUCAGGUCCCAUAUCGUCAUUAUCAUCACUGUUCUGGGUGUUCUACUGUUUCUCAU